rnacentral:lncRNA from 1 species
GAGCCCAUUUCCCAGAAGCCCAAGUAUGUCCAACUAAUUAGGGUUUUAUUUUCUUUCUCUAAGCAGCGCCUCUCUUAACCUUGUCCUUUAUAGCUAUGCCUUUGUCCUCUUCUCCAUUUUUGACUAAAAUUCAACCUCCAACAAUCAAAGUACAAUCUUUGUCCGCCCCAUUUCAAGCAAAAUAAGAGCUUCUCUCAUCCGAUUUUGGCGUGUAUAGAUGACCAAGAGAUGAUCCUCCCAUUUUUACACUACAAGACUUGUCGAAUCUCUCUACCUCAGUCGAGAUCUUACCAUUUCGUGCAAGAACUGAGCGAAUCACGUGAAUCCCUAUUACUAUGCCAACGUUCGGAUUUGAACGGCUCUGUUUGACUUCAUUUGAAAUCUGAAAAUUUCAAAUCCCGCUCAGAAACGGAACCCUAGUUUUCUCCUAUAAAUACUCCUCAACUCUCCAGCCGAAAGAUCAUCUUUUGGAAUCCUGGAAAAUAGAUAGAACACGGCAAAAUCGAAUCAAUAAGUAAUUCUCUUCUUUUCUGUAAUCUCUGUCCCUAUUUAGUUAGCUAAAACAGAGUUUCGAUCUUGUUACGUGGAGGGAGUAAAUUUGAAGCUUCUCAAACUCCCGUUCACUGCACCACACCAGGUGAAAUUCGGACCCAUUCUUAUUUUCGUUAUCGCCGACGAGUUUUCUUUGUGUUAGAACUCAUGCUUUAGGUUUUCGAAAGCCUGUUUAUUGAACCUUGUGACAGAGUGUAUAGACUUCACGCAAUAGAAACUUUGUCCUUAGGAAAACUGAUUUUAUGACUACUUGUUCAAAUACUUGUUUGAUGAAUGUUUGACGAAAUGCCUGUAUGUAUACAUUAGUUUUCAUUUGUUGGGAUGUAACCAUGUGCAGGCUCUUAAAUGAUUAUUGGUGUGCCGACGGCGUACUGUUUAAUUAUGAACACACACGAAAAUGUCCUUGCUCCUAAACUCUUAGUUGGAAGUUAGUUCAGAAUUCUCUUUAAUUUCACCCAUUCCAUGGAUCAUUGAAUCAGUUAAUGUGUUGCAUUUUUUCUUGUUUAUUUUAGUUGCAUUAUGGUAGUAUAGAAACCAUGUAUGUUAGAAGAUUUAUAUCUAUGUAAUACUUGUAAUCUGAAUGCAAUAGAACUAGUAUGCUUAACAAUGGGCUGGAGUCUCUCCCCUAUUUUAGAGAUCAUGAUCUAGUUAUUGUUUAGGUUAUAGAGGUUAUGCCCAAAACAAUCUGCUUGUCUGUAUGAUAAAUUAAAUAUAGUUGCUGAUUUAAAUGUUGAGGCUUUGGUUUUCUGCUAGCAAUAGAGUUAAACAUCUAUAAUAACUUAGUAAUAAUGAAAACUGAGUUCAUAGGUACAUGUUAGACAUAUUUUUAGGCCUCAAUUGUAUUCUGUCAAACUUAAGGAAUAUAUAAUAGCAUGUUAGCUUUGUUAAGAAUUAAACCUGAUUUGUUUUCAUUAUAGAGAUCUUGAUUUUUGCUUAGGGAUAAACUACAGAACAUAUAAAUUGCUCUAGAUUUGCCCUUAACAGAGCCAUGUCCUAAGAAGUAGAAACCAUGUAUUGUUCUUUCUUUAAGAAAUAUUGGAUAUACACAUGUUCUUGAAAUUUUAAGAAUCUCUUCUCUGUUUGUUACAACUAAUUGUAUUUGUUUUAUCUGGAAUAUUGAGCUUGUCCGAACACAUAUAAUAUCUAUGUGUUACAGUGUUAACAUGGUUUGUUUGUGUAGUUUAGAGACUAUUAGAUUACAUAACAAUAUGACGCUUUACUUUAUCUAUUUUCCUGUGAAUGUUUAAGAAUCAGAGCCAAAGAGUUUCAAUUUAAGACUCAACGACGCCAUAAAAAUCGCAUGGAGUCAGCACACUUUGAUGUUUCACUGCUUAUGUAGCGACAAAACAACAAAAUUAUUCCGCAUGGCGGUUCUGGCGGAGAAGCCAGUCAAUUGUCCUUUACAUUUCUGCAUUAAUCACAAUGUUGCUUCUUUGUGUUUGGUGACAGUUUAAAUAGUCAUAUUUUAGAAUCUUAAUUGUUAUGUGAUACUAUAUCAAUUCGGCGAGGCGUCUUUCUAGAUAAUAAUAGAGAUACUCAUCACAUAGAACACAUCUUGACAUAGGGAAUAUUAACAACAUUGGUUUUUCAACUAUAUAAUUGUUUUUCUUAUUUGAACUUUUGGAAUUAGCUUUGUAAAAUGGGCAAAACGUGAGUUUAACCAAAUCUACUAUAUUAAGUUAAUCUACUUUACAUGCACGUAGACUUGUAGAACUCUUUAGACGUAACAAUAACUUUAAACACAACACAUGUCUUAGCCUUUAAUCAAUUGACUUAAGUCCGGUUGGUAAACCAUUUUAAUGUGGAUCUUAAGUAGUGCUUUACACCUUUUCUUUAAGAUUAAUUGAAUCCCUUACCUUAGAAUCUCUAAUGUUUAGUAGACCUUAUAGAGUUAAUAAUUGAUAAUUUAGGUGUCCUAACUCACCUUUUAAUAUAGUUAGGUGGUGACUCUUUAGUUAACAAUUAAUUGAGGAAUCACCAAUAUGUUAUACUCUAAUUUGAUCUGUGUUAAAAUGGGGUAUAACAACUACCAUGUUAAACAUGUAUGGUUUGUAACAAGUGUUCAUCCUCUCUGUCUGUUUCGAACCUUUUCAUUUGCCUUUUGGGUAAAUUGUGUUGUUUUUUCCUUUUUGAUUGCCCUUUGGCCUGGAUAAUAUGUCGGUACCAUUGCUUUUUUGAAACUUGAACAUUCAUUCCCAUACCAUUUUGCUCAUAGUGCAUAGUUGAUAGCAUGUUAGAAACUUGAGCGUCCACCAGAUUGUAUAGAGAAUCGGGUUCUCUUUGAAUUUCCACUGAAGAUAUUAAUGAACCAAAUUGUAUAGCGAUUUGGUCCUAUAUCGGUUUGGUACAGUGCUAACUACUGAAUAAGUAUAUAAAUAAGAUACAUGAUAAGUUCCCACUAUAUAGAGAACCAAAUUCUCUAUAAAUUUCCACUGUAAGCAACAGGCUGUAAAACAGCCAGUAUAGGGAAUCAUGUUCUCUAAUUGUUCUUGCAGUAGCUCGGUAGUAAGUAAAGAACAUAGAGGAUUUUUAUGUGGAAAAAUCUCAACUCAAAGAGACAAAACCACGACCUACAUUUAUAGGUUUUCAACUUCACUAACUUGUAAACCCCUAUGACAAGCCACUUUGUAAUAACUUU